CCUACGGGAGGCAGCAGUAGGGAAUAUUGGGCAAUGGGCGCAAGCCUGACGCAGCAACGCCGCGUGAAGGAAGAAGGCUUUCGGGUUGUAAACUUCUUUUGUCAGGGAAGAGUAGAAGACGGUCCCUGUAAUAUAAGCCACGGAUAACUCCGUACCAGCAGCCGCGGUAAUAGGUAGGGUGCAAGCGUUGUCCGGAUUUACUGGGUGGAAAGGGCGUGUAGCCGGGUUGACAAGUCAGAUGUGAAAUCCUGCGGCUUAACCGUAGAACUGCAUUUGAAACUGUUGAUCUAGAGUACUGGAGAGGCAGACGGAAUUCCUGGUGUAGCGGUGAAAUGCGUAGAUAUUAGGAGGAAAACCAGUGGCGAAGGCGGUCUGCUGGACCGCAACUGACGGUGAGGCGCGAAAGCGUGGGGAGCAAACAGGAUUAGAUACCCUAGUAGUC
rnacentral:rRNA from 1 species